CACGUAGGCGGCUUUGUAAGUCGGAUGUGAAAGCCCCGGGCUUAACCUGGGAAUUGCAUCCGAAACUGCAUGGCUAGAGUAAAGGAGAGGGAAGUGGAAUUUCCGGUGUAGCGGUGAAAUGCGUAGAUAUCGGAAGGAACACCAGUGGCGAAGGCGACUUCCUGGCCUAUUACUGACGCUGAGGUGCGAAAGCGUGGGGAGCAAACAAG
rnacentral:rRNA from 1 species